CCUACGGGAGGCAGCAGUGAGGAAUAUUGGUCAAUGGGCGCGAGCCUGAACCAGCCAAGUCGCGUGAGGGAUGAAGGUUCUAUGGAUCGUAAACCUCUUUUAUAAGGGAAUAAAGUGUGGGACGUGUCCUAUUGUGUAUGUACCUUAUGAAUAAGGGUCGGCUAACUCAGUGCCAGCAGCAGCGUCAAUACGGUGGAUCCGAGCGUUAUCCGGAUGUGUUGGGGUUAAAGGGUUCGUAGGCGGCAUUUUAAGUCAGCGGUGAAAGUCUGUGGCUCAACCGUGGAUUUGCCGUUGAAACUGGGGGGCUUGAGUAUGUUUGAGGCAGGCGGAAUGCGUGGGGUAGCGGUGAAAUCCUGAGAUAUCACGCAGAACCCCGAUUGCGAAGGCAGCCUGCCAGGCCAUGACUGACGCUGAUGCACGAAAGCGUGGGGAUCAAACAGGAUUAGAUACCCUUGUAGUC
rnacentral:rRNA from 1 species